UCAAGUUAUUAAGGGUGCAGGGCGGAUGCCUUGGCACUAGGAGCCGAUGAAGGACGUGAUAAGCUGCGAUAAGCUUCGGGGAGUUGCACGUAAACUUUGAUCCGAAGAUUUCCGAAUGAGGAAACUCACUUAGAGUAAUGUCUAAGUAUCAUUAAGUGAAUACAUAGCUUAAUGAGGGGAACUCAGGGAACUGAAACAUCUAAGUACCUGAAGGAAGAGAAAGAAAUUCGAUUCCGUAAGUAGCGGCGAGCGAACGCGGAUUAGCCCAAACCAAUAAAGUUUUCUUUAUUGGGGUUGCGGACAUAUCAUAACGAAGAGGUAUCGUAAUUGAAGAGGUUUGGAAAGACCCACCACAGAAGGUAAUAGUCCUGUAUGUUAAACGAGAAGACUUCAGAUAUGAUCCAGAGUACCACGGGACACGUGAAACCCUGUGGGAAGCAGGAGGGACCACCCUCCAAGGCUAAAUACUACCUAGUGACCGAUAGCGUAUAGUACCGUGAGGGAAAGGUGAAAAGAACCCCGGGAGGGGAGUGAAAUAGAACCUGAAACCCUGCACUUACAAGCUGUGGAAGCACAUUUCUUGUGUGACCGCGUACUUUUUGUAGAACGGGCCAACGAGUUACGUUAAGUAGCAAGGUUAAGCACUUAAGGUGCGGAGCCGUAGCGAAAGCGAGUUUUAACUGAGCGUUCAGUUACUUGACGUAGACCCGAAACCGGGCGACCUACCCAUGAGCAGGAUGAAGCGAAAGUAAAAUUUCGUGGAGGUCCGAACCCACGAGCGUUGAAAAGCUCGGGGAUGACUUGUGGGUAGCGGUGAAAUUCCAAUCGAGCCCGGAGAUAGCUGGUUCUCCCCGAAAUAGCUUUAGGGCUAGCCUCAAGGUGAGAGAUACGGAGGUAGAGCACUGAAUGUCCUAGGGGGUAUUGCACCUACCGAAGACUAUUAAACUCCGAAUGCCGUCAUCUUAUACUUGGGAGUCAGACUGUGGGUGAUAAGAUUCAUAGUCGAAAGGCAACAGCCCAGAUCGUCAGCUAAGGGUCCCUAAUGUAAGUUAAAGUGGUAAGGAUGUGGGUUUGACAGACAACCAGGAUGUUGGCUUAGAAGCAGCCACUCAUUCAAAGAGUGCGUAAUAGCUCACUGGUCGAGUGAUCCUGCGCCGAAGAUUUCCGGGGCUAAAACUUACUACCGAAGCUACGGCAUCAGUAAUGAUGGGUAGGGGAGCUUCCCAUACGGGUUGAAGCAUGACCGUAAGGACAUGUGGACAGUAUGGGAGUGAGAAUGUUGGCAUGAGUAGCGAGAUGUGGGUGAGAAUCCCACAGGCCGUAAACCCAAGGUUUCCAGGGGAAGGUUCGUCCGCCCUGGGUUAGUCGGGACCUAAGCUGAGGCCGAAAGGCGUAGGUGAUGGACAACAGGUUGAUAUUCCUGUACUACCGAUAACCGUUUGAGAGAAGGGAUGACACAGUAGGAUAAGCUAAGCACACUGUUGGUUAUGUGUGCCCAAGCAUUGAGGCAGUCAAAGUAGGCAAAUCCGCUUUGAUAAUGCUGGGAUGUGAUGGGGAGCGAAAUUUAGUAGCGAAGUAGCUGAUUUCACACUGUCAAGAAAAGUCUCUAUCGAGGUUAAAGGUACCCGUACCGCAAACCGACACAGGUGGGUGAGGAGAGUAUCCUAAGGCCAGCGAGAGAACUGUUGUUAAGGAACUCGGCAAAAUGACCCCGUAACUUAGGGAUAAGGGGUGCCACCAUCAGGUGGCCGCAGAGAAUAGGCCCAAGCGACUGUUUACCAAAAACAUAGGUUUCUGCUAAGUCGCAAGACGAUGUAUAGGAGCUGAGCCUGCCCGGAGCUGGAAGGAUAAGGGGAUCUGUUAGAGCAAUCGAAGCAGUGAACUUACGCCCCAGUAAACGGCGGCCGUAACUAUAACGGUCCUAAGGUAGCGAAAUUCCUUGUCGGGUAAGUUCCGACCCGCACGAAAGGCGUAACGAUUUGGGCACUGUCUCUACAACAGACUCGGUGAAAUUGUAAUUCCGGUGAAGAUGCCGGAUACCUGCGACAGGACGGAAAGACCCCAUGGAGCUUUACUGUAGCUUGACAUUGGGUUUUGGUACUACAUGUACAGGAUAGGUGGGAGGCUUUGAAACCAGGACGCCAGUUUUGGCGGAGCCUUCCUUGGGAUACCACCCUUGUAGUACUGGGACUCUAACCAUAGGCCAUGAAUCUGGACUUGGGACACUGUCAGGCGGGCAGUUUGACUGGGGCGGUCGCCUCCCAAAAGGUAACGGAGGCGCUCAUAGGUUCUCUCAGUACGGUCGGAAAUCGUACGUAGAGUGUAAAGGCAAAAGAGAGCUUGAUUGCAAGACAUACAGGUCGAGCAGGGAUGAUAAUCGGACUUAGUGAUCCGGCGGCUCUGCGUGGAAGGGCCAUCGCUCAACGGAUAAAAGCUACCCUGGGGAUAACAGGCUUAUCUCCCCCUAGAGUCCACAUCGACGGGGAGGUUUGGCACCUCGAUGUCGGCUCAUCACAUCCUGGGGCUGUAGUAGGUCCCAAGGGUUGGGCUGUUCGCCCAUUAAAGUGGUACGCGAGCUGGGUUCAGAACGUCGUGAGACAGUUCGGUCCCUAUCCGUCGCAGGCGUAGGAAAUUUGAGAAGACCUGUCCUUAGUACGAGAGGACCGGGAUGGACGUACCUCUGGUGUACCAGUUGUCCUGCCAAGGGCAUGGCUGGGUAGCUAUGUACGGAAUGGAUAAGCGCUGAAAGCAUCUAAGCGCGAAGCCAACUUCAAGAUAAGAUUUCCCACCGCAAGGGUAAGACCCCAGAAAGACUAUCUGGUUGAUAGGUCGAAGGUGUAAGUGCAGCAAUGUAUUUAGCUUAUCGAUACUAAUAGGUCGAGGACUUGACCAA
rnacentral:rRNA from 1 species